GCACCAUCUUGUUCCUGAUCGCUGUCCCGUGAGGUUUUCCAAGCCAGGAAAUAUUUUAUGCAAUACAUAACUGUCAAUGUUUAGAGCUUUGUGUUUGUGUCUUUCAGGAAUGAGGGGAGAGCUGAGUCUUGUGGCCAAAUCUUACUCCAAUUUACACCAAUAUUAAUUCAAAGUCAAGCUGUGGUUUGCAGUAGAAUGACUCCAGUUUUAUGCUGUUAGAUCAGAAUUUGCUCUUUUUUUUUUUUUUUCCCAAACAGAAGUUUAAGGAAGCAAAGCAUUUCCCAAGAGCUGCCUCCCCAGAUCUCUGCUGCAUCGGGAACGUAUUGCUCUAUUUCCACGGUCAGAUACAUCCUGCUUUAACAGAGCAUCCUCAAGGACCCCCAGCAAAAGUCACAGCACCCACCCUGAUGAGUAUGGUGUGAAAAGUGGCUGCUGGGUUUGGUCACUGGUUUGUUGGGAACAGAACAUGGAGCUGGUGGGACAGAGCAGGACUGGAUGGUGCCUUUGUGGUUCUGCAGUGCAGCCCCAGGUCCCCAUGCAUGUCCCCAUCUUCCAAAGUGGCCCACGCACUGCUGUCCUGGGUUGUCUCUUGCAGCAAGUGUCAACACUCUGGAAUUCAGCAUUUCUUUCUCUCUUUUGUCCCCAAAAUGUCAAAUUGGAGGCACAAAUAGAUGGCACAAAAAAAAGAGCUCAUUUUGCCAUUUCACCAGGAAAGGCUCUGCGGUAAUUCAAAGUGUUCUAUUCAGGAUUCAUCUGCAGCAAAAUUUCCUUCUGCCUCGAACCUGUCAAGUGCCAAUAUUCAUUUUAAUGAUCUCAUUUUAUAAAUAAUGGAAAGAAAAACAAUACAUUCAAUAGAAAUGAGAUUAGAAAUGGGAGGGGAAUGAAUUACAAAUGCAAGAGUCUGUAGUUGUUCCAAGGAAGAUAAAUCUCAUUUUAAGUGGUCUCCAGUGAAACAGCAUCUUGGUAAGGAUAAAACAAGCAAACAACUAAAACCCACAAAAAAGCCCACGUCUUUUGCUGAUAAAGAAAGGUGGAUGGCAGCAGCAGGGAGUGUUUGCUGACACAGGUCAGUUGUCACAGUAUCUUGAGACCAGUGAUACGUAGGUUUUCUUCUUGGCCUUGCCAUGGCCUCCCUGUGAUAAAUCAUUUAACAGCUGGUGCCAGCAUUGCAGGACAAUCUGGAAAAUCAAACUCCAGUGAACAAACCUGCAGAUGACAUCAAGAAGCAAUGCUCGGGGCAGCAGCCACUGCCAGGCUUCCACCUCAGCAGGAUAUUUGAAGCCUGGCUCACACCAUGAGUUGGUAGGCUUCGAAGCAAACCCAAACCAUACAAUUGCUCACGGCCCAUCCAGUGCUUGCCUGCAACCUCCUCCCCCUCCUGCCUC
ensembl:lncRNA